rnacentral:misc_RNA from 1 species
AAGUCGUAACAAGGUUUCCGUAGGUGAACCUGCGGAAGGAUCAUUAAAAAAUCUCUUGAGCCGCAAGGCUCUAUUAUUUUGUGAAGUGUCCACUGUGUGUAUAUCGCGUUGCACAUAUAAGAGGGGUGGGUGAUUGAAGCAGGAAGGAUGGUGAUGAUGGGGUAAUGCUCGUCUGUCUGUCUGCCUUGUUGAUAUGCAUCUGCACUUUUUGUGUACGCAUAUGCACAUGUGUUUGUUAUCAAAAUGUGUAUGUCUUGAUUUGAUAAGGUUUGUGUUGCAUCAAUGCAUGUGUGUGCAUACGUGUGUACAUGUGUAUGGUUGUGAUACAUAUAUAAUGAAUAUAUAUACAACUUUCAACAGUGGAUCUCUCGGUUCUU